GGCACUAGGGGAUAUUUUGCAAAAGGGGAAAAUUCUGUGGGAGCAACACCCCGUGAAUGAGGAAAAGCUUCUGGUGGUAAAAAUUAGUUCAUGGGGGAAAAAAAGCGUUGAGUGGUAAUAAGCUCGGCACCUUGACGGUACCCUAACAAGAAAACCACGGGUAAAUCCGUGCCCGCCGCCGCGGUAAUACGUAGGGGGCAAACGUUAAUCUGGAAUUACUGGGGGUAAAACGCGCGCAGGGGGUCUUUUAAAUCCGAUGUGAAAACCCCGGGGUCAACCGUGGAAGGUCAUUUGAAAAUGGGCGACUAGAGUGCAGAAGAGGGGAGGGGAAUUUCCAGGUGGAGCGGUGAAAUGGGUAAAGAUCUGGAGGAACACCAGGGGGGAAGGGGGCCCCUGGACAAAAACUGACACUGAAGCGCGAAAGCGUGGGGAGCAAACAGGAUUAAAUACCCUGGUAGUUCCCCCCCUAAAAGAUGAGUGACAUAGAGGUUGGGGCCUUGAGGCCGGUAUUGCCGAAGUUACGCGUUAAAUCCACCCCCUGGGGAGUACGGCCCCAAGGUUAAAACUCUAG
rnacentral:rRNA from 1 species